AUACGUAGGUGACAAGCGUUAUCCGGAAUUACUGGGCGUAAAGGGUGCGUAGGUGGUUUCUUAAGUCAGAAGUGAAAGGCUACGGCUCAACCGUAGUAAGCUUUUGAAACUAAGAGACUUGAGUGCAGGAGAGGAGAGUAGAAUUCCUAGUGUAGCGGUGAAAUGCGUAGAUAUUAGGAGGAAUACCAGUUGCGAAGGCGGCUCUCUGGGCUGUAACUGACACUGAGGCACGAAAGCGUGGGGAGCAAACAGGAUUAGAUACCCUGGUAGUCCACGCCGUAAACGAUGAGUACUAGCUGUCGGGGGUUACCCCCCUCGGUGGCGCAGCUAACGCAUUAAGUACUCCGCCUGGGAAGUACGCUCGCAAGAGUGAAACUCAAAUGAAUUGACGGGG
rnacentral:rRNA from 1 species